UACGUAGGGGGCAAGCGUUGUCCGGAAUCAUUGGGCGUAAAGCGCGUGUAGGCGGUUCAGUAAGUCUGCUGUGAAAGUCCAGGGCUCAACCCUGGGAUGCCGGUGGAUACUGCUGGACUAGAGUGCGGAAGAGGCGAGUGGAAUUCCCGGUGUAGCGGUGAAAUGCGUAGAUAUUGGGAGGAACACCAGUGGCGAAGGCGGCUCACUGGACCGGUACUGACGCUGAGGCGCGAAGACGUGGGGAGCAAACGGG
rnacentral:rRNA from 1 species